UCCCUGGUGGCUUAGACGAUAAAGCAUCUGCCUACAAUGCGGGAGACCCGGGUUCAAUCCCUGGGCUGGGAA
rfam:Ovis aries breed Texel chromosome 17, whole genome shotgun sequence.